AAAGCUUUAAGUUAAUAAAACUAUUAACCUUCAAAGUUAAAAAUAUAAAUAAAUUUUAAGCUUUA
rnacentral:tRNA from 1 species